CCUCGGUUCGCCGUGGUGGCGUGGUAGAAGAGCGUGAACGGUGCAGUGAAGCAGAACCGAAAGGGGACGUGGAGCGCCGUUCAGUGAGAAUGCAGACACGAGUAGCGAUAAACCAGAUGAGAAUUCUGGUCGCCGUAAACCCAAGGUUUCCUGGGCCAGGUUCGUCCUCCCAGGGUCAGUCGGGAGCUAAGAUGAGGUCGUAAGACGUAAUCGAUGCACAGCCGGUCAACAUUCCGGCACCGACGUGGUUUAAACCGUUGAUGACGCAAGGAGAAAAAUGGCGGAAUCAUUGAAGAUUCGGCUUAGGAGCAAUCCGAAGCAUGCCAUCGGACUACUUGUCGAGAAAAGUCAGCGGCCCUUUGCCACGUUGCCCGUACCGCAAACCGACACAGGUGGGUGGGUGUAAGUGCACCAAGGCGCGCGAGAGAGACCUCUCUAAGGAACUCGGCACAUUAGCCCCGUAACUUCGGGAAAAGGGGUGCUCGCUUCGGCGAGCCACAGUAAAUUGCGUUUAGCGACUGUUUAACAAAAACACAGCACUCUGCCACGUCGUUAAGACAACGUAUAGGGUGUGACAAGUGACCAAUGCGGAAAGAUCAAGGCAAGGGGUUAGCCGUAAGGCGAAGCUCUGAACCUAAGUCCCCGUGAAUGUCGGCCGUAAUUAUAACGGUCCUAAGGUAGUGAAAUUUUUUGUCGGGUAAGUUCCGACCUGCACGAAUCUUGUAACGACUGAACGACUGUCUCGGAGAGGUUCUCGGCGAAACUGUAACGGCGGUGAAGAUGCCGCCUGCCCGCAGUAGGACGGAAAGACCCUAUGCACCUUUACUGUAAGCUCGUAUUGGCUUCUGGUUGAUGAUGCUUAGCGUAGGUGGGAGACUUUGAAGGCAUGGCUUCGGUUGUGCUGGAGUCGAAAUGUGAAACACCACUCUUUGUCAACUAGGAGUCUAACCUCGAUCCCGUUAGCCGGGCGAGGGACAGUGCGUGCGGGUCAGUUUGGCUGGGGCGGCUUCCUCCCAAAUGGUAACGGAGGAGCGCGAAGCUGGGCUCAGCAUGGUUGGCAACCAUGCGUCGAGCGUAUGGGUAGAAGCCCGGUUAACUGCGAGACCAACAAGUCAAGCAGAUGCGAAAGCAGGCCCAAAUGAUCCGAUGGUUGAAUGUGGAAUUGCCAUCGCUCAACGGACAAAAGGUACGCUAGGGAUAACAGGCUGAUCGGGACCAAGAGUUCACAUCGACGUCCCGGUUUGGCACCUCGAUGUCGGCUCAUCGCAUCCUGGGGCUGGAGAAGGUCCCAAGGGUCCGGCUUUCGCCGGUUAAAGCGGUACGCGAGCUGGGUUCAGAACGUCGUGAGACAGUUCGGUCCUUAUCCACUGUGGGCGGAGGAAACUUGAGGGGUUCAUUCCUUAGUACGAGAGGACCGGGAAUGACGCACUUCUGGUGUGGCAGUUGUCGUGUCAACGGCAGCGCUGCGUAGCCACGUGCGGAAGGGAUAAGCGCUGAAAGCAUCUAAGUGCCAAGCCCAUCCCAAGAUAUGGUUUCCCGGACGCAAGUCCCUGAAGACACCAAGCAGACUACUUGGUUGAUAGGCUGGGCGUGCAAGCUCCGUGAGGAGUUUAGCGGACCAGUACUAAUCAGUCGUGAGGCUUGAUUGC
rnacentral:rRNA from 1 species